GCCCAUGUGGUGAGGCACACCAAAAUGCAAAUUUGGAGACGUACCCUAACAGGUGCCGGGGCUUCUCCCGUUUUCCCCCAGACGGGAGAAGC
rnacentral:tRNA from 1 species